GACGCCCCCAGGCCGGCUUCGCAGCGAGGAGGAAGCUCAGAGCGUGCGCGGCACCUCUCCUGCCCCAAGCCCCCGGGCCCACCAUCCUCCCCCGCGACCCUCUGACCACCAUCACUCCGUCCUGGGCACUGAGCUGGCCAGGUGGCUCUCCCUGCCUCAGUCUCCCCUCUUUACAUGGAGGGCAGCCACCUCUGUGAGGAGCAUGUGGGCAUGAGCUCCAAGAAGCUGUUAAAUAAAAAUUCCGAAAGGAAAAUGGACAAAACACCACGCGCGGACUCACCGGGAAGGAACUGGAAGCCGUGCAGCCACGCGGCCCUGCCUCCGAGCCCCAUCCCGUCCCCGGUGUCUCCCUCCGUGGCUUCCCCGCUGGCUGGAGGGGCUGCGUGCUGCCUCCGCUCUCCAGAGGAGACGAAGAUAUAGAAGCUUAAAAACCGAUUCACCACCAGCUUAAUGGCUCCAGGGGAUGAGUUGUCCGUAAUUUUCCUCCGGUUCAUCAUUCCUCCAGAUUUACAGGGAAAGUUCCCAGACAGUGGCGCCCACCUCCCGCCCAGUGUCCGCUGUCACUCCCCGCUGACGCUCCCACGAUGCAAUGUUACCACGGACGCGUCAGGACUGACCCAUCACGGUCACUGGACUCCACGCUCUGUUCCCGUCCCCCCAGGUCCCCCCAUCUCUCCUCGGCUCCGGGCCCAGGCUACCCCUGGCCGUGACGGUCUCCCGAGGGCCUGGCCGUCCGUGACCUUGAGGAAGGCCGAGGCGUUGCGGAAUCUGUGACGUUUUCUCACGACCAGACUGGGGUUGGGUUUCCCGGGGGAAGAGCACGCAGGGACCCGCCACUCCCAUGGC